GAUUUAGCAGGCGGAGGAGGAGCUGUCGCGGGCAGCCGCCUCACAGCGAUGGCGGCCGAGCAGGGCCGGCGGUGGUGGUGCCUGCGGCUACGGCCGGAGACGGCAGUGGUGGCGGUAGCAGUGGGUGGUGGGGGCCUGUGACCGGGAGCCGCCCCUGGACCCGGGCACCAUGAGCCAAGGCCCCGCCACAGGGGAGAGCAGCGAGCCCGAAGCAAAGGUCCUCCACACUAAGCGGCUUUACCGGGCUGUGGUGGAGGCUGUGCAUCGACUUGACCUCAUCCUUUGCAACAAAACUGCUUAUCAAGAAGUGUUCAAACCAGAGAACAUUAGCCUCAGGAACAAGCUGCGUGAGCUCUGUGUCAAGCUUAUGUUCCUGCACCCAGUGGACUAUGGGAGGAAGGCUGAGGAGCUGCUGUGGAGAAAGGUAUACUAUGAAGUUAUCCAGCUUAUCAAGACUAACAAAAAGCAUAUCCACAGCCGGAGCACCUUGGAAUGUGCCUACAGGACACACCUGGUCGCUGGUAUUGGCUUCUACCAGCAUCUCCUUCUCUAUAUCCAAUCCCACUAUCAGCUAGAACUGCAGUGCUGCAUCGACUGGACCCAUGUCACCGACCCUCUGAUAGGAUGCAAGAAGCCAGUGUCUGCCUCGGGGAAGGAGAUGGAUUGGGCACAGAUGGCAUGCCAUCGAUGUCUAGUGUACCUGGGGGAUUUGUCACGGUAUCAGAAUGAAUUAGCUGGCGUAGACACCGAGCUGCUAGCUGAGAGAUUUUACUACCAAGCCCUGUCAGUAGCUCCCCAGAUUGGAAUGCCCUUCAACCAGCUGGGCACCCUUGCAGGCAGCAAGUACUAUAAUGUGGAAGCCAUGUAUUGUUACCUGCGCUGCAUCCAGUCAGAAGUAUCGUUUGAGGGUGCCUAUGGGAACCUCAAGCGGCUAUAUGACAAGGCAGCCAAAAUGUACCACCAGCUGAAGAAAUGUGAAACUCGGAAACUUUCUCCCAGCAAGAAGCGAUGUAAAGACAUUAAAAGGUUGCUGGUGAACUUCAUGUAUCUGCAGAGCCUCCUGCAGCCCAAAAGCAGCUCCGUGGACUCAGAGCUGACGUCACUUUGCCAGUCAGUCCUAGAGGACUUCAACCUUUGUCUCUUCUACCUGCCCUCCUCACCCAACCUCAGCCUGGCCAGUGAGGAUGAGGAGGAGUAUGAGAGUGGAUAUGCUUUCCUCCCAGACCUUCUCAUCUUUCAGAUGGUCAUCAUCUGCCUUAUGGGUGUGCACAGCUUGAAGAGAGCAGGAUCCAAGCAGUACAGUGCAGCCAUUGCCUUCACCCUGGCCCUCUUCUCCCACCUCGUCAAUCAUGUCAACAUACGGCUGCAAGCUGAGCUGGAAGAGGGCGAGAAUCCUGUUCCAGCAUUCCAGAGCGAUGGCACAGAUGAACCAGAGUCCAAGGAACCCUUGGAGAAGGAGGAGGAGCCGGGUCCUGAGCCUCCUCCUGCAGCCUCUCAAGAGGGUGAGGUCAGAAAGAGCCGGAAAUUCUCCCGCCUCUCCUGCCUCCGCCGCCGCCGCCACCCACCCAAAGCUGGUGAUGAUAGUGAUCUGAGUGAAGGCUUUGAAUCGGACUCGAGCCAUGAUUCUGCCCGGGCCAGCGAGGGCUCCGAUAGUGGCUCCGACAAGAGCCUUGAAGGUGGGGGAACGGCCUUUGAUGCUGAGACAGAUUCAGAAAUGAACAGCCAAGAGUCUCGAUCAGACCUGGAAGAUAUGGAAGAUGAGGAAGGGACUCGGUCCCCAGCCCUGGAGCCUCCUCGGGCCAGGUCCGAGGCUCCUGAAUCCCUCAAUGGCCCAUUGGGCCCCAGUGAGGCCAGCAUUGCCAGCAACCUACAAGCCAUGUCCACCCAGAUGUUCCAGACUAAACGCUGCUUCCGACUGGCCCCCACCUUCAGCAACCUGCUCCUCCAGCCCACCACCGAAGCUCCCAGCUUGGCCAGCCGCAGGCCCUGUGUCAAUGGGGAUGUGGACAAGCCCUCAGAGCCAGCCUCUGAGGAGGGCUCUGAGUCGGAGGGAAGUGAAUCUAGUGGGCGUUCCUGUCGGAAUGAGCGCAGCAUCCAGGAGAAGCUGCAAGUCCUGAUGGCUGAAGGCCUGCUUCCUGCUGUGAAAGUCUUCCUGGACUGGCUGCGGACCAACCCUGACCUCAUCAUUGUGUGUGCACAGAGCUCUCAAAGUCUGUGGAACCGCCUGUCUGUGUUGCUGAAUCUGUUGCCAGCUGCUGGCGAACUCCAAGAGUCUGGCCUGGCCCUGUGUCCCGAGGUCCAGGAUCUUCUUGAAGGUUGUGAACUGCCUGACCUCCCUUCUAGCCUGCUGCUCCCAGAAGACAUGGCACUUCGCAACCUGCCUCCCCUCCGGGCUGCCCACAGACACUUUAACUUUGACACGGAUCGGCUCCUGCUCAGCGCCCUAGAGGAGACGGUCGUGCGCAUUUGCUGCAUCCGCAGCUUUGGCCACUUUGUUGCCAGCCUACAGGGCAGCAUCCUGCAGUUCAACCCAGAGGUUGGCAUCUUCGUCAGCAUCGCCCAGUCUGAGCAGGAGAGCCUGCUGCAGCAGGCCCAGGCCCAGUUCCGCAUGGCACAGGAGGAAGCUCGGCGGAACAGGUUAAUGAGGGACAUGGCUCAGCUACGACUUCAGCUCGAGGUCUCUCAGCUGGAAGGGAGCCUGCAGCAACCCAAGGCCCAGUCAGCAAUGUCUCCCUACCUCGUCCCUGACACCCAGGCCCUCUGCCACCACCUCCCAGUCAUCCGCCAGCUGGCCACCAGUGGCCGCUUCAUUGUCAUCAUCCCAAGGACAGUGAUCGAUGGCCUGGAUUUGCUGAAGAAGGAACACCCUGGGGCCCGGGAUGGGAUCCGAUACCUAGAGGCAGAGUUUAAAAAAGGGAACAGGUACAUUCGCUGCCAGAAAGAGGUGGGCAAGAGCUUUGAGCGGCAUAAGCUGAAGAGGCAGGAUACAGAUGCUUGGACACUCUAUAAGAUCCUGGACAGCUGCAAACAGCUGACUCUGGCCCAGGGGGCAGGAGAGGAGGACCCGAGCGGCAUGGUGACCAUCAUCACAGGCCUUCCACUGGACAACCCUAGUGCGCUCUCAGGCCCUAUGCAGGCAGCCUUGCAGGCCGCUGCUCAUGCCAGUGUGGACAUCAAGAAUGUUCUGGAUUUCUACAAGCAGUGGAAGGAGAUUGGUUGAGACCGACCCCCAGGCCCUGCAGCGGGGCUGACUCCAGAUCUCUCCUGCCCUCCCUGGCAGCCAGGACCACCACCUGUAGUCAUCCCACCACACGCAGACUCACGCACACACACAGGAAGGAAGCCCAGCUGCAUACAGGCUGCAAGGAGGGCCCAGGAGCCAGCUGGGAGGGCGGGGUAACCCCUGUUGCCAAGACGACGUCAGGAAGGCAAGGAAAGUGCUUGGAGCAGGAGAGGCCUGUGGGCCCCUAGGCAGCCUUCCUGCCUCAGCCCCCUGUUUUCCCCAGGGGCAGGUGGCAGGCACGGGUGUCUGCGUUUCAUUGGAGUGAUUCCUGGACCUCUGAGGGGAAGGGACAGCAGAAGGGGCCCUUCUUCUUCACCCAAGAUGCAGGGUGGUUGGUGCCGGGAGUUUGGGCCCUCCAGCUCUGGGGGAAGAGUGGGUAAUUCCAGGUAUCUGGGUGGGUUCUCUGCAGACCCUUCCUCUCCUCAAGGACCACCCAUCCCCGUCUCAUCUCCCUUUGCAAAGGCUGGGCAGCUCUGGAGCCUUGGGGACUCUGAGAGAAGAGGGACCUGGAGCUGGCUGCAUUGACAGCAAGGCGGGGCUUAGAUCCCCUCCUGCUGCAGGGGCCGCCGCGCACGUGUUGCCCCACUGCUGAUUUCUCUCUGCCUCCGUCUAGUGUCCAGGGCAGGGAGCAGGCCCACGACAGCUGCAGGCAGUCUGGCCUGUAUGCCAGUAAGGGCUUCUGUGCCCACCAGCCCCAUGGUCACUUCGCUUUGUGCUCUGGGCUGCUGUGCUGGGAUGCCAGUACGAGGAGAGCAGGGCACAGUUUGAGGCCACCCCCCUCCCCUUACUACCUAGGGAAGGGCCUAUGUUCUUGUGGGCAGCAGGAAGGAGAGGCCCCUUGAAGCUGCCUGGCCAGGGGCCCUCUGUCCUGAUGGACUUCCUUACUUUUGUCCUUCCCCAGGACUAAAGGCCUGGAGGAGCGGAGCAAGGGGCCAGCUUUUGGAAUGUCGAGUUUUAUUGGGAUGUUGGAGAUUACCUGCGUUGAGGUGGACCUGUUGAAGCAAGAAACCAGCAAUUGGAGCACAAACUCCUGAGAUGGUUUUGAUAGACUGUUCAUUGCCUCUGUGAACUCAGUUCUGAGCAGGUGCCUUCCCAAGGGUGAUAGGUGAAAAUGUACAGUUGAACAUGGGGUUUUAGGACACUGACCCCUAUGCAAUCGAAAAUCCACACCUGACUUUACUGUGGGCCCUCUGUAUCUGUAGUUCCAAAGCUACCAUUCAACCAGCUGGGGACCAUGUAGUACUAAGGAUGUAUUUAGUGAGAGGAAUCUGCAUAUAAAUGUAGUUCAAACCCAUGUUCAGGGGUCAACUGCCUGGGGGUAGUUUACUGUCUCCAGCUGGAUCCUCUGAAUUGGUGAGAAACUUCCUGUAAAGGAGAGGUGAGGGUGAGCCUUGAAACCAGACUGAAACCCCUGUCCCUCUGCAAGGACUGACACCUCAGGUGUAUCUUUGGGGAGUGGAGAAGUUUGGCACAUCCCUCAUGGUUGAAUCAACACUUACCAGAUGCUUUUGCUCUGGAUCCUGCCAAGCACCAGGCACUGAGGCAGCAAAGCAGUGAGAAGUGGUUUCAGAAAUCUGGUCAAGGUUCAGAUUCCUCUGCCCAGCCUAAGGCAGAGCCAUCCUCAGGCAGUACAGUCUGAGGGGGGUGCUCCCCAUCACCCUUUUGGCAUCCUUGUGAGGGCCCCGGCCAGUCUGGUGGGGUGGGGUCAAGCUGGAGGGGCUGGCAGCGUGUUGGAGGCCAAGUGAGCUGCCUGCUAAUGGGGCCGGGCCACCCCGUGCUGUUCCCCGGAGGCUGGACAAGGCUGGGAUUGUUCCCUGGCUUCCCUUUGUCUCCCACUCCCCGCCCAGGCCUGGCCUGCCUGCCACUCUCCUCUUCUGUUGGUCUGGCUGGCAAGAGCCUGGGACUCCGCCCGUGGAGCCUGGGGCCUGCUGACCCACCGGCUUAGGAGCGCCCAUCAAGUUCUGGGUAAGGAAGCUCUCCUGGGGGCCAGACGCCCAUUCUGGGGAACUAGAGGCAUCACGCCCCCCUCCCCCAUUUCCAUGGCUACAGAACAGACUACUCCAGAGACCUCUAAACCCUAGUGCUGAGGGAAGGGACCCUGUGGGGAGCUAGACCCCAGCAUCGUCCAGUCCCACCCCUCCCCUGGGUAGCUGGGCGGCACUCAGGUCAGAGCACUUCCCAUCCCCACUUCUGAGAGGGGUCAUCCAUCUUAAAGCGCUGCCUAAGUGCAGGGAGUAGGGACCAGCUCUGCCCUGUGCUUAGCAGGGUCCCCAGCACCCAACUCUAGGGCAGAGGGCCUCCAAACUGUUGGAUGACAGGAGCAGAGGCUUGGGGUUCCGGCU